CACAACUAUGAUGAGCUCUACAGACCUGUAAUGAUUGCAGAUAUGAUUGCAAUUAUUAUGAACAUCUAAGGGACUGAGUUGUA